GAUCUAACACAGCAAUUCGUAGAAUUUGACAACUUGGGUUCUCAAAUUGAUGCAGUAUUUCCAGAAUUCAAGGGCUACUUCAAGUAUCUUUUGAAGUAGGACGCCAUAAAACCAGGGAAUGUGUUGUGAUUGUGCAAUUCCAAUAAAAAUCUAAAUUGAAAUAA